GCUGGGUGUAGUGGCCCACGCCUAUAAUCCCAGCAACUUGGGAGACUGAGCCAGGAGGAUUGUAAGUUUGAGGCCAGCCUCUGCAAUUCAGUGAGACCCUGUCUCAA
rnacentral:sRNA from 1 species